rnacentral:lncRNA from 1 species
AGGAUUCCGAAGUUCAGCGAUUAUUAGCUGUGGGGAGCUGGAGAAGGUAGCUACCUGGGUUGAAUGCACUCUAAGGUUGAGUAAGAUGAGCCUAAAGCAGGAUCCUUCAUAUUGCAAAAACUGGAAAGAAACAUGAAGCUGCAAAUCUACAUAGAGAUGAGGGAAUUGGACUAAGGUAGGUUGAAUGUAUCAUGGGUUUAAUAGCCUCUGAACACCUUCGCUUCUC